AUACACAGUCAGUCUAAGGCCACCAUACCUUACAGUACACACACACACACACACACACACAUACACACACAUACAGGUGACAUCACCAUCACGAGGAAAAAGAGGAAGAGGAAAUAACAAGGGAGUUUACUGCAAGAAUAUAGGAAGAAGAAGAGGAAGAAAAAGAGAAGGAUUUGCGAAGAGAGGAGGAGCUGAGAAAAAGAAGGAGGAUACAAGAGAAAGAAGAAGGACCAGCUGAUGUGUUUGUGGGUUUGUCUGUUCGGAGUCGUCGGAACCUGCUUGUAAGUGCACAUUUCAGUCCCGCAGUCCGUGAGAAGCUUGCCAUGGCGUGGAGACACCGCUCAGCCAAGGAGAAGACCCACCUGGGAGUGAUCGGGUUUCUCUCCUUCGCUCUCUUCUGCUUCAUCAUCGCUGUCAUUGCCAUGGAUCUGUCCUACAAGGCCAAGAUAAGUGAUCUGGAGGACGAACUGGAUAAAUACAAGACCACUAUGAUAGUCACCACGGACACCACAGCCAUUACCAACACUAGCGACACCACCAUCACCACCAACACCACCACUCCUCCCACCACUACUACGGAACCUGCAACUACUACCACUUCUACUACAACAACCACCCCAUCUACUACUACUACGACACCAUCUACUACUACUACAACAACGUCUACUACUACUACUAAAUCUACAACUUCUACAUCAACGACAAAAAGCACCGAAAAGCCUCCAGUUUCAAGCCUUUAUUACGAUGACGAAGAAGAAGAGGAUAUAGAAGGCAUGGAUGAUAAUAAUGAUGUGAAAAAGAUGAAGGAAUUAGUGAUGAUGGAGAGACUUAAGACAGGUGCAUAAAUCUUCUUCCUCUUCUUCUUAAUUCUUCUUCUUCUUAUAAUUCUUUUUUCAUCUCCUUUUCUGCUUGUUCUUGUUCAUUACUCCUCGUCUUUCUGCUUCAUUCUAACCGUCUUCUCUUAUUUCUCCUCCUCCUUCUCCCUCUCCUCCUCCUUCUAUCACUACUUAUUAUUCUCUUCAUCCUUAUCUAAUUCUUUCAUUCUUUCUAUUUCAUCUCAUAUUCCCCCUCUUACUCCUUUCUCUCCUCCUCCUCCUCUUCCAUGACCUCCAACUAAUUUUUUAUCUUCCUUCACAUCCACUCCUUUCAUCCUUACUGCUUCGUCUGUUAUUUCUCCUCCUCCUCCUCCUCCUUGUUCUGUAGUGACUGCCUACAAAUAACAUGCUGAGUUGAAUGAGGGAAUGACUUCAGUAUGAGUGACUUAAUGACAUUGAUUGUAUAUUAUUAAAGGUGUGUGAUUUGUAGGUAUUGCAUCCGAGUCUGCAUUAUUCAUUGGACCAGUAGCAGUGUGUCAUGAGGGUAAUAUUAAUUUUUUUUAUUAGAGUGAUAUGUUUGUUAAGGAUCUGAGAGAGAGAGAGAGAGAGAGAGAGAGAGAGAGAGAGAGAGAGAGAGAGAGAGAGAGAGAUUACUUUGUUUAAUAGUAAAAAUAAGAUAUAUUUAAUUAUUCUCAGUGUUAUUAUUAUUAUUAUUAUUAUUAUUAUUAUUAUUAUUAUUAUUAUUAUUAUUAUUGUUAUUAUUGUCCUGUUUCGUGUGUGCGCUCCUAAAUUACUCAUAUAUAAUUAGCUUGAUUCUGAUUUAUAUAUUAAUUAGAUGGUGUUUGUCUUGCACGUAUGUAGAUCUGAUUGUGUUAAGUGUGAUUUAGUAGUAGUAGUAGUAGUAGUAGUAGUAAUAGUAAUAUGCAGAAUGCUGAAAAAAAGUAAUGUUUGUACAAUAAAAAGGAAUUGUAAAU